rnacentral:rRNA from 1 species
CCUACGGGAGGCAGCAGUGAGGAAUAUUGGUCAAUGGACGAGAGUCUGAACCAGCCAAGUAGCGUGAAGGAUGACUGCCCUAUGGGUUGUAAACUUCUUUUAUAUGGGGGUAAAAUGUUCCACGUGUGGGCUUUUGUAUGUACCAUAUGCAUAAGGAUCGGCUAACUCCGUGCCAGCAGCCGAGGUAAUACGGAGGAUCCGAGCGUUAUCCGGAUUUAUUGGGUUUAAAGGGAGCGUAGGUGGAUUGUUAAGUCAGUUGUGAAAGUUUGCGGCUCAACCGUACAAUUGCAGUUGAAACUGGCAGUCUUGAGUACAGUAGAGGUGGGCGGAAUUCGUGGUGUAGCGGUGAAAUGCGUAGAGAUCACGAAGAACUCCGAUGGCGAAGGCAGCUCACUGGACGGCAACUGACACUGAGGCGCGAAAGUGUGGGGAUCAAACAGGAUUAGAUACCCGUGUAGUC